rnacentral:rRNA from 1 species
ACGAACGCUGGCGGCACGCUUAACACAUGCAAGUCGAACGAGAGAAGAGAAGCUUGCUUUUCUGAUCUAGUGGCGGACGGGUGAGUAACACGUGAGCAAUCUGCCUUUCAGAGGGGGAUACCGAUUGGAAACGAUCGUUAAUACCGCAUAAUAUAAUUGAACCGCAUGAUUUGAUUAUCAAAGAUUUAUCGCUGAAAGAUGAGCUCGCGUCUGAUUAGCUAGUUGGUAAGGUAACGGCUUACCAAGGCGACGAUCAGUAGCCGGACUGAGAGGUUGAUCGGCCACAUUGGGACUGAGACACGGCCCAGACUCCUACGGGAGGCAGCAGUGGGGAAUAUUGCACAAUGGAGGAAACUCUGAUGCAGCGAUGCCGCGUGAGGGAAGAAGGUUUUAGGAUUGUAAACCUCUGUCUUCAGGGACGAAAAAAGACGGUACCUGAGGAGGAAGCUCCGGCUAACUACGUGCCAGCAGCCGCGGUAAUACGUAGGGAGCGGGCGUUGUCCGGAAUUACUGGGUGUAAAGGGAGCGUAGGCGGGAUCGCAAGUCAGAUGUGAAAACUAUGGGCUUAACCCAUAAACUGCAUUUGAAACUGUGGUUCUUGAGUGAAGUAGAGGUAAGCGGAAUUCCUAGUGUAGCGGUGAAAUGCGUAGAUAUUAGGAGGAACAUCAGUGGCGAAGGCGGCUUACUGGGCUUUAACUGACGCUGAGGCUCGAAAGCGUGGGGAGCAAACAGGAUUAGAUACCCUGGUAGUCCACGCCGUAAACGAUGAUUACUAGGUGUGGGGGGACUGACCCCUUCCGUGCCGCAGCAAACGCAAUAAGUAAUCCACCUGGGGAGUACGACCGCAAGGUUGAAACCCAAAGGAAUUGACGGGGGCCCGCACAAGCAGUGGAGUAUGUGGAUUAAUUCGAAGCAACGCGAAGAACCUUACCAGGUCUUGACAUCGUAUGCAUAGCUCAGAGAUGAGUGAAAUCUCUUCGGAGACAUAUAGACAGGUGGUGCAUGGUUGUCGUCAGCUCGUGUCGUGAGAUGUUGGGUUAAGUCCCGCAACGAGCGCAACUCUUACUGUUAGUUGCUACGCAAGAGCACUCUAGCAGGACUGCCGUUGACAAAACGGAGGAAGGUGGGGAUGACGUCAAAUCAUCAUGCCCCUUAUGACCUGGGCCUCACACGUACUACAAUGGCUGUUAACAGAGGGAUGCAAAGCCGCGAGGUGGAGCGAACCCCUAAAAGCAGUCUUAGUUCGGAUUGUAGGCUGCAACCCGCCUACAUGAAGUCGGAAUUGCUAGUAAUCGCAGAUCAGCAUGCUGCGGUGAAUACGUUCCCGGGCCUUGUACACACCGCCCGUCACGCCAUGGGAGUCGGUAACACCCGAAGCCUGUAGUCUAACCGCAAGGAGGACGCAGUCGAAGGUGGGAUUGAUGACUGGGGUG